rnacentral:rRNA from 1 species
CCGGUGAGGUGGAAACGGACAGAGCUGGCGUAUCUGGCCUGUGUUCAGCCGUGGGCUCGUCGGCGCCAGGGAUGCCGCUCUCCAGAUUGGGACGGUGGUCUGGCUGCUGGUGGGCUUGUGGUGCAUUGGCAGGUGGAGUGCGCUGAGGCGCUCGGUGCAGCGGCAUGCACUCGGCCUUGAGGCCAGCCCGCAAGGUGUCUGGUACCCGGACCGGGGGAGUGUUGUUUGCGCUGGGUGUGGUUGCAUGGGGCAAUGGUAUCGGGCCCGGGCGGGUGCCGAGCUGGCAGUCGGCGGCGGUCGCGUGCGACACGUGCCAGCGGUCGGCUCGGUCCUGUUCGCGGCUCACAAUUCGCCUCGCCUCGGUGUAAAAGCCGGUCAUCUGUCCGACCCGUCUUGAAACACGGACCAAGGAGUUUAGCGUGUGCGCGAGUCAUUGGGCGUUGAAAACCCAAAGGCGCAAUGAAAGUGAAGGUCUGCCUUGUGCAGCUGAUGUGUGAUCCUGGCCACUGCGGUGCGCCGGGCGCAACAUAGUCCCGUCCCGAUCGCGUGCGAUGGGGCGGAGACAGAGCGUACGCGCUGAG